AGCAACACGUGGAUAAUCUACCCAGUAAUCCGGGGUAACAUUCCGAAAGGAAUGCUAAUACUUGAUAAGCCUACGCUCUCUUCGGAGAAAGUAGGAAAAGGUGGGGACCUUCGGGCCUACCGUUACUGGAUGAGUCCGCGGCCCAUUAGCUAGUUGGUAGGGUAAUGGCCUACCAAGGCUACGAUGGGUAGCUGGUCUGAGAGGAUGAUCAGCCACACUGGAACUGAGACACGGUCCAG
rnacentral:rRNA from 1 species